rnacentral:rRNA from 1 species
UACAGAGGGUGCAAGCGUUAAUCGGAAUUACUGGGCGUAAAGCGCGCGCAGGUGGUUCGUUAAGUUGGAUGUGAAAGCCCCGGGCUCAACCUGGGAACUGCAUUCAAAACUGACGAGCUAGAGUAUGGUAGAGGGUGGUGGAAUUUCCUGUGUAGCGGUGAAAUGCGUAGAUAUAGGAAGGAACACCAGUGGCGAAGGCGACCACCUGGACUGAUACUGACACUGAGGUGCGAAAGCGUGGGAGGCAAACAGG